rnacentral:lncRNA from 1 species
AUGGAGUCCAGACUAAAACGUGUGCAGAAGGCAUGUCAUAAGAAAACAGGUCACUCCCCAGCAGUUCCAGCACAGCUCCCUAGAGCUACACAAGAAGAGAUCAUCUCCUCAAGAAGAGACCUCCCUGCUAGGACAGCAAAACUUCUGGGCCCCACGUAUUCAGUGGCAACUGUCUCAACUGGGUGUCCCAUCCGCUGCUGUGUUCCUGACUCUUUCCACCCCAGUCUUCGAGGUUCCCAGAAAACCUGCCUUCAGCAGACAUUGGAUCUGGGCCCAGCAAAGCAGGAGCUUUCGGGAGGCCCUCCAGCCCAUGACGCAGCGGAGCUAGCAGCACCUGCGCUUGGCAGUGUCUUUUCCCCUUUGCUGAGGAUUCCCCAUGGAAAAGAAGCCACUCUAGACAGUCUUGGAGGGAAGAGAGCAAACUCCUGAGCAGGAAUGGAGGUGGACCAGAGUCAGUAAGCCUUUCAGAAGACUUUGAAGGUCAGGUGCUGAGCUGAGGAAGACCUCCCGUUCCCUCAGUUUCCUUGCUCUCUCCCCGGUCCGACUACCUGGAUAGAAACUGUGCCAGUUGCAGUCAGGCCAGCGUGAGUCAUCUUCUGCCACUGUUUUCCUGGCACAAGGACUGUGCCGCUGCGUGUGGGUGGAAGCCGCGCACACAUAUGCACAAAUACGGCUCAAGCAUCACUCGGGACAAGGCCGACUUUGCAGAGCCGGGCGGCUGGAGCUGCCCCCGGUGCCCACCCCAGCUCCAGCAUGGACUGAGCAGCUCCAAGGCUCUGCACCCAUAGAGGGGGCCUCAAAUUGCCAGCCGCUGAGGGCUUUGAAAUGGUUGGACCCCCCCCCCCGAAGCCCUACACACACACCCCUUGGGUCAGAAAAUCAGGACGCUGGAGUGUUUCAUCUAGGAUAGGUUUGGGGAGAAAAGAGGACUGGGAUCUGGUGACCAGCUGUAGGGAUCAGCCAGCCAAAAUCGCUCUAGUCUCACUGCCGCUCUCCCCGCGCUGCUCUCUUCUCCCAUCCCUGCUUCAGACCCAGCGAUAGACACCAGUCCCCCCCCGCAUCCGCCUCCCCCCGCUCUUCUCUCCGCAGCCAGCCCAGGCGGGCUGGCAUCUGGCCCAGGCCUGCGGCACCUGCCUCCUCGCCAAGCACACCAGAACCCGGCAAAGCUUUCCACCCCUCUCAGCGCUGCCCGGGGUUCGGGUCAGGCAAAGGGGGGUGUUCAGCUUCAUCAGCCCCAAAGAGAGGCCAGUCCCAGGGUCCCCCCUUCCUUCCACAGCUCCUUUGGCAGCAAUAAAGCCCAGCGGCCGUAUACGCCGGAGUCGUCU